rnacentral:rRNA from 1 species
GCCCCCUGAAAGUUAGAGUAGUUUUCCGCAGAGGGCAACUUUGGGGCCGUUCCUUGUCUAUGUUCCUUGGAACAGGACGUCAUAGAGGGUGAGAAUCCCGUGUGGCGAGGAGUGCGGUUCUUUGUAAAGUGCCUUCGAAGAGUCGAGUUGUUUGGGAAUGCAGCUCUAAGUGGGUGGUAAAUUCCAUCUAAAGCUAAAUAUUGGCGAGAGACCGAUAGCGAACAAGUACAGUGAUGGAAAGAUGAAAAGAACUUUGAAAAGAGAGUGAAAAAGUACGUGAAAUUGUUGAAAGGGAAGGGCAUUUGAUCAGACAUGGUGUUUUGUGCCCUCUGCUCCUUGUGGGUAGGGGAAUCUCGCAUUUCACUGGGCCAGCAUCAGUUUUGGUGGCAGGAUAAAUCCAUAGGAAUGUAGCUUGCCUCGGUAAGUAUUAUAGCCUGUGGGAAUACUGCCAGCUGGGACUGAGGACUGCGACGUAAGUCAAGGAUGCUGGCAUAAUGGUUAUAUGCCGCCCGUCUUGAAACACGGACCAAGGAGUCUAACGUCUAUGCGAGUGUUUGGGUGUAAAACCCAUACGCGUAAUGAAAGUGAACGUAGGUUGGGGCCUCGCAAGAGGUGCACAAUCGACCGAUCCUGAUGUCUUCGGAUGGAUUUGAGUAAGAGCAUAGCUGUUGGGACCCGAAAGAUGGUGAACUAUGCCUGAAUAGGGUGAAGCCAGAGGAAACUCUGGUGGAGGCUCGUAGCGGUU